rnacentral:lncRNA from 1 species
GUGUCAGAGGAGGACGGCUCUGCGAUCCUCAAAGAUUGACAGCUGUCAUCUAGAUAGCCCUGUCCUAGCCUGGGGUGCGGGUGCCAGAAAUCGAGGUCAAGGCCCUGUCUGUGGGUCACGUGCUGCUUCCUGUAGUAUCUCUUUAAAUGGGAAAAUGUUCCUUCACCCCUUCUCUUUCCUAACUUUUUUUCUUUGAGAUGGGGGUCUUGCUAUGUAGCCUAGGCUGCCUUGAACUCUUCAUCUGCCCAAGUGCUGGGGUUCCAGUUGUGUCUGCUGUCACACCCAGUUCAUGUUGUUAUUCGGGUCAUAGAACGUGUGUUUACAUUUUAUUUUAUGUGUACGGGUGUCUUGCGUGCACGUGUGUCUGUACCACUUGUGGGCCUGGUGCCCAUAGAGACCAGAAGAGGGCAUCAGAUCCCCUGGUACUGGAGUUACAGAUGAUUGCGAGCUUCCUUUAUGACACCUGGCCACCUGAGGACCCAUCCAUCUCCAUGGAUGUACCAGAGCACCCCAGAAUAUCUCCCAAUAGCAGUAAUAAAUUAAAUAAAGUGGAA